rnacentral:ncRNA from 1 species
AUAAGUAAAUGAGAAGUGAAUAGUAAUAGAUUCAAUUCAAAAGAGACAUGGCGGUUGGUGCAAGCCAUGGAUGCGGGUCUAUGAAUCCACACUUUAAUCAGCCUAUGAAUAAUUUUUGAAUUUAAAUAGUGCCGGUGUCACCGUUAUCGACUCAGAGUGCAAAUAAGCUGGUAAACAAGGCUUAUUUGAAUUAGGGUGGUACCGCGAAUGAGCCUUUCGUCCCAAGU